UACGUAGGGUGCGAGCGUUAAUCGGAAUUACUGGGCGUAAAGCGUGCGCAGGCGGUGAUGUAAGACAGAUGUGAAAUCCCCGGGCUCAACCUGGGAACUGCAUUUGUGACUGCAUCGCUGGAGUGCGGCAGAGGGGGUUGGAAUUCCGCGUGUAGCAGUGAAAUGCGUAGAUAUGCGGAGGAACACCGAUGGCGAAGGCAAUCCCCUGGGCCUGCACUGACGCUCAUGCACGAAAGCGUGGGGAGCAAACAGG
rnacentral:rRNA from 1 species